ACUGAAUCCAAUUCAAUUGGACUUGAUCCAAAAAUAAUUACUCAAUCAAAUUAAGUUAAUUAGCGAUCAAAUCACUAAUAAAACCUCUCAUAAUUAUUGAGUCCAAAUCCGAUGGGCAAUCGGAUAUCAAAGUCCAUCAAUAUGAAACCUUGAUCGAAGAGUUCAAAUUUCAAAUUCAAAAUUUAAAAUUCAAAAUUUUGAUCCUGGUACCCAAAAUGUGUGGAACUCAUGAUCAGAGAAUCUUAAUUCUCAAUCAUAGAGUCCCAGACACAUAAGACUCAUAAUCAGCCAUCAGAUCAGAAAGGAACCUCUAAUGUGUGUGACCCCGCAGGUUCGAACCUAAGCCAGUAGCACAAGAACCAAUUCCUGUACUAAUCGAAGUGACCAUCUAGCAAUGGUACCCGAUGAUCGGAU
rnacentral:lncRNA from 1 species